UCGCAGGAUGAUAAAGGCUCUUUGACGGCCAGAAACACCAUUGUCCUAUUGAAAGUAAUCAGGUCGUGCUAUCGUCCGUGCUUCUAUCUCUCAAUGCCGAUAAUUGGGUCGCUGCGCGCGGGACAAGUCGUGAAUGACAAGCGCAUCUCGCAGCCACACACUUAGCCUUCAAGAGCACGCCGCGCUUCAGUGGAGGCCAAAUGCUUACUCUUUCCUCGCAUCCGGUGUUGAGUCAUACGAGGGCUACCACGUUGGAGCCACUACGCUUCGACAAUUACGACGUGCCUUCGACCUCUGACAUGGAAGCCUUUCUUGGCGAGACCACCACCUGCACGCUUUCAUCGAGUUACCGGCCCGCGCAAGUUGUGAUCAUGGGUGUCGCGAGCUGGUUCGGCCGCACCAUAGCCCAGCGCAUCGUGAGGCACUCGAGAAGCAGCCACCGCGGAGGUCAGCAGCUCCUGACGCUCGACCUGGUCAUGCUUCUGCUGACCGAGAGAUACGCGCUGGAGCAUUGCUCGAUCGAGAUCUACGUCAGCCAUUUUCCCAGCUUCUCGAAGCUCUUCAUGGACGACCUCGAAACGCAGUGCCGGGAUUUGGGGAGGGCACUGCACAGUUUCGACGUCAAGUACGCCGCGGUGUGGCACAGGGAGUCGUUGAACGACUUCCGCGCUCGAGUGUCGGAGACAGGGGUGAAAUUAGAAAGCAUGAGCGGCGCGGACUGGAGGUUUUUGAGGGCACUGGAAAGUGAGUGGGUGAUUGCGUGAAUUGCCGGAGGGUGAUCCACACAUUGUGGCGCCUGAGCCUUUAUUCACGGAUCACACGAUUUGUUUCCGGUGCUGCCUAGAUAGUGACACGGUGCUGGGUGAACCGAGCUUCAAUAGUUAUCAUCCAAGUAGGGAUGCAAACUAAGAUUAAAGAGACGUCAUCCCUCCGGCCCUUCUCGCGAUGCGGGUGAAGAUGGGGAGGGGAACGUAAAAACUAAUCACCUCAUUCGAUGUCUGUCAAGUUGUCAUGGAAAUCUCCAGUUGCAUCUUGAGGCUUGACUCCGUUUGUGUCGUCAUGGAACUGUGCUGUACAAACGAGCCAUCAGUUUUGAUCUGCGGCGUACACUUUUUCUCCAGAAUAAACGCUAAACGUCUUUUCAACAAAA